rnacentral:sRNA from 2 species
UCACCAGCCGCGCCGAACUCCAUCCGCUGGUACGCGGGGACAACGAGACCCAACUUGGAUGGAGGCGGGGGACCCACUGGUCCACCGAAAAGAAGGACCGGGAACCGAUUCGGUUCCUUGGGGUGAAGCCGUCGCCGUUUCGACGACGCCGGCCGGGCGACCUCUCCAGCCCGAACCCGACAGCUGACCUCGCGGGCGCUUCAAGAGAGGACCA